AUGAGCUGCCAGGGGUGGUUCUCCCUUCACCCCACCCGCCUUCGGUGCCACCACAUCAUGUUGACAUUGCAUAGAGAACACGCUGACAUUCACAUCGACUUCCGCCCCACUUCCGCUCCAUUUCCUCUUUAUUUCCUCCCUACUUCCUCUAUUUCCUCCCUACUUCCACUCCAUUUUAUUUAUUUCCCCUUUACUUCCUCUUUAUUUCUGCUUCUGCUCCACUUCCGCCGGGCUUCCGCUCCACUUUAUCUCCUCUUUUCACCACUUCCACUCCAUUUCCUCUUCACUUCCGCUCCACUUCUGCUCUGUUUGCUCUUUCUUUCCUCUCUACUUCUGCACCACUUUAUUUCCUCUUCCUGUUCAUUUCUGUUUUUGCUCCACUUCCACAUUCAUUCAACUUCAUCUCUUCAUCACCAUUUCCACUCUGUUUCUUCUUCACUUCUGCUCCAUUUUCUCUUUAUUUCCUCCCUACUUCCUCUAUUUCCUCCUUACUUCCACUCCAUUUUAUUUAUUUCCCCUUUACUUCCUCUUUAUUUCUGCUUCUCCUCCACUUCCGCCGCGCUUCUGCUCCACUUUAUCUCCUCUUUUCACCACUUCCACUCCAUUUCCUCUUCACUUCCCCUCCACUUUAUUAAUUUCCUCUUUAUUUCCUCUUCGUUCCUGUUUCUGCUUCACUUUCGCCCCGCUUUUGCUCCAUUUCCACUUUAUUUCCUCCUUACUUCUGCUCCCCUUUAUUUAUUUCCUCUUUUCUUCCUCCUUAUUUCUGUUUCUGUUGCACUUCUGCUCUACAUUCACUCCACUUCAUCUCUUCAUCACCACUUCCACUCCAUUUCCUCUUCAUGUCCAUUCCAUUUCCACUUCAUUUCCUCCCUACUCCCACCCCACUUCAUUUAUUUCCCCUUUAUUUCCAUUUAUUUUCUCUUUACUUCCACUCAGUUUCCACUUUAUUUCCUCUCUACUUCCACUCCACUUUAUUACCCCUUUAUUUCCUCUUUAUUUCUGUUUCUGCUCCACAUUUGCCCCACUUCCACUCCACUUCCUCUUUAUUUCCUUUUUCACUCCACUUCUACUCCACUUUCUUUUCUCUUUGUUUCUGCUCUGCUUCCACUCCACUUCCUCUUUAUUUCUACUCCACUUCCACUCUAUUUCCUCUUUACUUCAUCUUCAUUUCUAUUUCCUCUUUGUUUCCUUUUCCCUUCCACUCCAUUUCCUCUUUAUUUCUGCUCUGCUUCCACUGCACUUCCUCUUUAUUUCCACUCUACUUGCACUCCAUUUCAUCUUUAUUUCAUCUUUAUUUCUACUUCACUUCCUCUUUGUUUCUUUAACACUUCCACUCCAUUUCCUCUUUAUUUCCUCUUCCACUCCACUUCUAUUCCACUCCAUUUCCUCUUUAUUUCCCAUCCACAUUAA
rnacentral:lncRNA from 1 species